rnacentral:rRNA from 1 species
UGCGGCCUACGGGAGGCAGCAGUGAGGAAUAUUGGUCAAUGGUCGGGAGACUGAACCAGCCAAGCCGCGUGAGGGAUGAAGGUACAGAGUAUCGUAAACCUCUUUUGUCAGGGAACAAAGGCGGGGACGCGUCCCCGGAUGAGUGUACCUGAAGAAAAAGCAUCGGCUAACUCCGUGCCAGCAGCCGCGGUAAUACGGAGGAUGCGAGCGUUAUCCGGAUUUAUUGGGUUUAAAGGGUGCGCAGGCGGUCUGUUAAGUCAGCGGUCAAAGCCCGGGGCUCAACCCCGGUCCGCCUGUGAAACUGG